GCGGAUGAACUGUGGGUAGCGGAGAAAUUCCAAUCGAACCCGGAGAUAGCUGGUUCUCCCCGAAAUAGUUUUAGGACUAGCCUCAAGUUAGAUACCUGGAGGUAAAGCACUGAAUAGCCUAGCGGCCGAGAGGUUAGCGAAGCUUAUCAAACUCAGAAUGCCAGAGUAUUGAUGCUUGGGAGUCAGACAGUGUCAGAUAAAUGUCAUUGUCAAAAGGGAAACAGCCCAGAUCUACAGCUAAGGUCCCAAAGUCAGGUUAAGUGGAAAACGAUGUGAAGAUACGCAGACAACCAGGAUGUUGGCUCAGAAGCAGCCACUCAUUCAAAGAGUGCGUAAUAGCUCACUGGUCGAGCGUCUUUGCGCGGAGAAUUUAACGGGGCUAAACCUGACACCGAAGCUUAGGCAAUCCAGCAAUGGAUUGGGUAGGGGAGCGUUGUAUACGCGGAGAAACAGUAGCGUAAGCGGCUGUGGAGUGUAUAGAAGUGAGAAUGCCGGAAUGAGUAGCGCGAAUGCAGUGAGAAUCUGCAUGGCCGAAAGCCUCAGGUUUUUGGAGGAAGGUUCGUCCGCUCCAAGUUAGUCGGGAGCUAAGGUGAGGCCGGAAGGCGUAGCCGAUGCACAGACGGUAGAGAUUCCGUCACCACCAAAAGAGUUAAGCACAGGGACACAUUUGAAGUCUCAGAGCCGGGUGUUGGUUCCGGUAGAGAUCGAGGGAAAUUAGUACCGAAGUCUGAGAUGGAAGAUGGCGAGAAAAGCUGUGUGUAUUUCUGAGGUGCCCGUACCGCAAACCGACACAGGUAGGUAGGAAGAAGAUUCUAAGGCCAACGGGAGAAGGGUUGUUAAGGAACUCGGCAAAUUGACCCCGUAACUUCGGGAGAAGGGGUGCUCCAGAGAUGGAGCCGCAGAGAAUCGGCCCAAGCAACUGUUUACCAAAAACACAGGUUUGUGCUAAAUCGAAAGAUGACGUAUACGAGCUGACGCCUGCCCGGUGCUGGAAGGUUAAGAGGAGAUGUGCAAGCAUUGAAUCGAAGCCCCAGUGAACGGCGGCCGUAACUAUAACGGUCCUAAGGUAGCGAAAUUCCUUGUCAGGUAAGUUCUGACCCGCAUGAAAGGCGUAAUGAUUUGGGCACUGUCUCAACAGCCCGCCCGGCGAAAUUGUAGUACCGGUGAAGAUGCCGGUUACCCGCGACAAGACGGAAAGACCCCAUGGAGCUUUACUGUAGCCUAAUAUUGGGUUUCGAUGUUGCAUGCACAGGAUAGAUGGGACACAGGGAAACAAUCGCUUUGGCGGUUGCGGAGUGGCCGUUGGGAUACCAUCCUUGCGAUAUUGGAAUUCUAACCUGCGGCUCUGAAUCGAGUCGGGGGACAUUGUUAGGUGGGCAGUUUGACUGGGGCGGUCGCCUCCUAAAAAGUAACGGAGGCGUUCAAAGGUUCGCUCAGCUUGAACGGAAAUCAAGCAAAAGAGUGCAAACGCAGAAGCGAGCCUAACUGCGAGACUGACGGGUCGAGCAGUAACGAAAGUUGGAGUUAGUGAUCCGGUGGUAUGUGAGUGGAAAUGCCAUCGCUCAACGGAUAAAAGUUACCCUGGGGAUAACAGGCUGAUCUCCCCCAAGAGUCCACAUCGACGGGGAGGUUUGGCACCUCGAUGUCGGCUCAUCGCAUCCUGGGGCUGUAUUCGGUCCCAAGGGUUUGGCUGUUCGCCAAUUAAAGCGGUACGCGAGCUGGGUUCAGAACGUCGUGAGACAGUUCGGUCCCUAU
rnacentral:rRNA from 1 species